GAUGAACGCUGGCGGCGUGCCUAAUACAUGCAAGUCGAGCGAACAGACGAGGAGCUUGCUCCUCUGACGUUAGCGGCGGACGGGUGAGUAACACGUGGAUAACCUACCUAUAAGACUGGGAUAACUUCGGGAAACCGGAGCUAAUACCGGAUAAUAUAUUGAACCGCAUGGUUCAAUAGUGAAAGACGGUUUUGCUGUCACUUAUAGAUGGAUCCGCGCCGCAUUAGCUAGUUGGUAAGGUAACGGCUUACCAAGGCGACGAUGCGUAGCCGACCUGAGAGGGGAACCGGCCACACUGGAAGUGAGACACGGACCAGAACCGUAGGGAAGGCAGCAGGGGGAAUAUUCCGCAAUGGGCGAAAGCCUGACGGAGCAAGGCCGCGUGAGUGAUGAAGGUCUUCGGAUCGUAAAACUCUGUUAUUAGGGAAGAACAAAUGUGUAAGUAACUAUGCACGUCUUGACGGUACCUAAUCAGAAAGCCACGGCUAACUACGUG
rnacentral:rRNA from 1 species